rnacentral:rRNA from 1 species
CCGCGGGAUUAGAGUUUGAUCCUGGCUCAGAUUGGACGCUGGCGGCGUGCCUAACACAUGCAAGUCGAGCGGUAACAGGUGUAGCAAUACAUGCUGACGAGCGGCGAACGGGUGAGUAAUGCUUUGGAAUCUUCCCAGUAGUGGGGAAUAACCAGUCGAAAGAUUGGCUAAUACCGCAUACGUCUGUAAAGGGAAAGCGGGGGCUCGUAAGACCUCGCGCUAUUGGAUGAGCCAAAGUCGGAUUAGCUAGUUGGUGGGGUAAUGGCCUACCAAGGCGACAAUCCGUAGCUGGUCUGAGAGGACGACCAGCCACACCGGAACUGAGACACGGUCCGGACUCCUACGGGAGGCAGCAGUGGGGAAUAUUGGACAAUGGGGAAACCCUGAUCCAGCGACGCCGCGUGUGUGAAGAAGGCCUGCGGGUUGUAAAGCACUUUUAGUGGGGACAAAAAGUCACGGCCUAAUAAUCUGUGAUCUUGAUUUAACCUACAGAAAAAGCACCGGCUAACUCUGUGCCAGCAGCCGCGGUAAUACAGAGGGUGCGAGCGUUAAUCGGAAUUACUGGGCGUAAAGCGCGCGUAGACGGUUUUGUAAGUCAGAUGUGAAAUCCCUGGGCUCAACCUGGGAACUGCAUUUGAUACUGCAUGGCUAGAGUAUCGAAGAGGGAAGUGGAAUUUCCGGUGUAGCGGUGAAAUGCGUAGAUAUCGGAAGGAACACCAGUGGCGAAAGCGACUUCCUGGUCGAAUACUGACGUUCAUGUGCG